CAGCUCUGCCCAGGUUCUGCCUGCUUUUGUUGUGCUUCUCCUCCCCUGGUGCCUCAGUGGGCAGUGCAUGCAGCGAUGAGGAGGAAAGAAGUCUGCUUAGCAACACAAAGAUGCAAUUUGUGCACAGUCUGACAUUACUUAUGGCAGAUCCCUCUGGCAGUGCAUAGCAGGAGAGCAGCCCUGAUGGCCUUCAGUGCUGUGCCUGGCACUAAGGCACUUUUUGUGUGUGCUUUGUUCACCUUCCAGCACUGAUAGUCCCUCCAGCAGAGGUACCAACAACUCCUGGAGCCUUUGUGUCAAGGCAGUACAUGUCUCCCUGGUACCCAGUUAGAAGAGCACUUCAGGUCAAUCCCUGCUAGUUGGGUGAUAUGUCGCAAGCUCUCAUUAUUUGCCCCUCAGCUUUUCACUUCCUCUCUCCUCUUGUAAUGUCACAGAGAAACCUGUUCUGCCGGGUGACAGCUGAUGGCAGGCACAGCCCCAUGCUUGCACAGCCUUCCCUGGUGGGAACUAUUUUUUAAUGUCCAACUUUGAGCUGACUGCCUUAGUUUGGCUUGGGCUUUCCCCACCUACCUGUUGCUCAUUUCAAUCCCAGCCCAUAGCAGCUCUUCAAAUCCUGCAUUUUCUUCCCUCCUGCAUAUGAUUGAGUAAGCAGUGAGCUCGAGGUUGCAUACCGGGCUGCCAGCUCACGGCGUGCCAGCUGGACUGCGGCUACCAGUCCCACAACCGCGUGGCUGGUCCUCUGACACACCCAGGUAAUUUCUCUCUGAGAGUGAACCUCCCUCAUUCCUCCCAUGGUUUCUGCUGGCACCACCUCCAUCUCUCCAGUGCAGGCAAGCAGCUCAGGAGGCCGACCUCUCUCUGGCCAGGGACUGUCUGGCCUUGCGUACUUCAUGGUAAUGUCACUGGAGGUGCUUCGGCAUCUGAAGCCUCUGUGAAUCAUGUGUCCCCCCAGUGGGUUUCCUUGCAGUGUGUCAGCCAGCAAUGCCACCAGUGUGCUGAGAGCCAGAGGAAGACUCAGUGGUGAUCCUGGAUUACAUCACAGGGCCGGAGGAUAUUUGGAGGGCUGGUUGUCAGCUGCACAGAGAAAUAUGUUUAUUUCAAACAACUUCAGCAAGGUUGGGAAUUACUUUUUGGUGUUAAGAAUGGAAGAGACCAUUCAUUACCAUUGAAG
rnacentral:lncRNA from 1 species